rnacentral:rRNA from 1 species
GAUGAACGCUGGCGGCGUGCCUAAUACAUGCAAGUCGAGCGAACGGACGAGAAGCUUGCUUCUCUGAUGUUAGCGGCGGACGGGAGAGUAACACGUGGAUAACAUACCUAUAAGACUGGGAUAACUUCGGGAAACCGGAGCUAAUACCGGAUAAUAUUUUGCACCGAAUGGUUCAAAAGUGAAAGACGGUCUUGCUGUCACUUAUAGAUGGCUCCGCGCUGCAUUAGCUAGUUGGUAAGGUAACGGCUUACCAAGGCAACGAUGCAUAGCCGACCUGAGCGGGUGAUUGAGUAGAUUGGCAGUGAGAAUCGUCAGAGACACCGAGGGGGGGCCGCAGUAGGGAAUCCUACGCGAGGGAGGAGUGCCUGACGGAGCAACGUCGCGUGAGUGAUGAAGGUCUUAUGAUCGUAAAAUGAUGUUAUUAGUGAAGAAGAUAUGUUUUAGUAACUGUGCACAUCUUGACGGUACCUAAUCAGAAAGCCCCGGCUAACUACGUG